AUUCCCUUCAGUGGUUAAAAAGUUAGUUGGAAGUGCUUUUUCUGACCGAGGAGGGACAAAGCAGCCAGUUCCAACUGGUCUGGCAGAGUCCCUGGGACAACGCCCUGCUAGAGAACAAUGGGGGGGAAGGGAAGAGGCACACCUUCCCAUGGAUUCAAAGGGGCAGAAAAAGUGUUCCAAAAUCCAAUAAGCCCAAACAAUGUUUAUAAUGGGCAAAAACUCCCAGAGGCCAUAGUCAGAAGAUAUGAGACGGGCAACAAGGCCCCUCCAAAAACCAGUGUCGAGGUCACUUUCGCCGCACUGUCCCUUCCUGCUCCUUGCUGUCCCUUCCUGCUCCUUGCUGUCCCUUCCUGCUCAUUGCUGAUCCUUCCUGCUCAUUGCUGACCCUUUCUGCUCAUUGCAGACCUUUCCUGCUCCUUGCUGCCCCUUUCUGCUCCUUGCUGACCCCUCCUGCCCCUUGCUGACCCUUUCUGCUUUUUGCUGAACAU